rnacentral:rRNA from 1 species
GACGGAGGGUGCUAGCGUUGUUCGGAAUUACUGGGCGUAAAGGGCGCGUAGGCGGCUACGGCAGUCGGGUGUGAAAGCCCGGGGCUCAACCCCGGAACGGCAUCCGAUACUCUGUGGCUAGAGACCGGAAGAGGUGGGUGGAAUACCCAGUGUAGAGGUGAAAUUCGUAGAUAUUGGGUGGAACACCGGUGGCGAAAGCGGCUCACUGGUCCGGUUCUGACGCUGAGGCGCGAAAGCCAGGGGAGCAAACGGG